rnacentral:rRNA from 1 species
CCUUUUUUCUCCCUCUUUUUUCGGAUUUACUGGGCGUAAAGGGCGCGUAGGCGGCGCGGUAAGUCACUUGUGAAAUCUCUGAGCUUAACUCAGAACGGCCAAGUGAUACUGCAGUGCUAGAGUGUGGAAGGGGCAAUCGGAAUUCUUGGUGUAGCGGUGAAAUGCGUAGAUAUCAAGAGGAACACCUGAGGUGAAGACGGGUUGCUGGGCCAACACUGA